UCCCUGGUAGCUCAGUUUGUAAAGAAUCUGCCUGCAAUGCAGGAGACCCUGGUUCAAUUCCUGGGUUGGGAA
rfam:TPA: Bos taurus chromosome 19, whole genome shotgun sequence.